rnacentral:rRNA from 1 species
UUACGGCUCAGUAACACGUAGCUAACCUGCCCUUAGGUCAAGGAUACCCUCGGGAAACUGAGGCUAACACUUGAUAGGAGAUAAGUCCUGGAAGGGUUUUUCUCUGAAAUUCGAGCCUAAGGAUGGGGCUGCGGCUGAUUAGCUUGUUGGUGGGGUAACUGCCUACCAAGGCGAUGAUCAGUAAGGGCUCUUAGUGGAGUCGCCCUGAGAAGGAAUCUGAGACACUAUUCCUAGCUCUACGGAGUGCAGCAGUUACGAAUCUUUUACAAUGCACGAAAGUGUGAUAAAGCGAACCAAAGUGUUUUUCAUAUGAAAAACUUUUCUUCACUGCAAAAAGGUGGAGGAAUAAGGACUGGGUAAGACAGGUGCCAGCCGCCGCGGUAAUCCCUGCAGUCCAAGUUGCAACCAUCAUUAUUGGGUCUAAAACAUCCGUAGCUUGUGUGAUAAGUUUCUUGUGAAAUUCCACAUCUUAAGUGUGGAGAGUGCAAGGAAUACUACCAUGCUAGAGACCGGUAGAUGCAAGGAGUACACUCGAGGUAGUGGUUAAAUACAUUAAUCUUGGGCGGACUAACAAUUGGCGAAGGCACCUUGCAAGAACGGAUCUGACAGUAAGGGAUGAAGGCCAGGGGCGCAAAACGGAUUAGAUACCCGUGUAGUCCUGGCAGUAAACACUGCUCACUAAACAUCGGGCCCUCUUCGGGAGGAUUCGGUGCUGAAGCGAAGGCGAAGAGUGAGCUACCUGGGAAGUAUAGUCGCAAGAUCGAAACUUAAAGGAAUUGGCGGGGGAG